rnacentral:rRNA from 1 species
CACCUACGGGGGGCAGCAGUGAGGAAUAUUGGUCAAUGGGCGCAAGCCUGAACCAGCCAAGUCGCGUGAGGGAAGACGGUCCUAUGGAUUGUAAACCUCUUUUGCCGGGGAGCAAUGCAGGCCUUGCGAGGCCUGAGGGAGAGUACCCGGAGAAAAAGCAUCGGCUAACUCCGUGCCAGCAGCCGCGGUAAUACGGAGGAUGCGAGCGUUAUCCGGAUUUAUUGGGUUUAAAGGGUGCGCAGGCGGGCCUUUAAGCCGGCGGGGAA